rnacentral:tRNA from 1 species
GUGUGUGUAGCUCAGUGAAAGAGUGCGUGCUUAGCAUGCAUGAGGUUCUGGGUUCAGUCCCCAGCACCACC